GCCGUUGUAGCUCAGUGGCAGAGCGUCGCUCUUGUAAAGCGAAGGCCUCGAGUUCAAUCCUCGGCUGCGGCA
rfam:Allomyces macrogynus ATCC 38327 genomic scaffold supercont3.56, whole genome shotgun sequence.